GGACCCUGGGCUCACGGAGAGCCUGCGCGGGCAAGGGCCCCACUGCCAGCGGACCCGCAUUGCUCUGGAACCCGUGAGGAGGAGGAAGAGCAAAGGGAGGCGACGUCUUCCCCCAAACCAGAGGAGUAGGAGGAUAUUUUAAGGUAAAGGUGUCUGCUGGAAGACAUAAAGCCUAGAGAAAGGUUCAUCCAUUUCAUCAGGACUUUAGAAAAAGAAAUCACUGCUUUUCUGAGUUGUUUCCCAAACCAUCAGUGGUGGUGAUUAACAUCGAAAGCUCCUUGGAUCUGCAAAACCCUCACACAUCAGUGGUCACAAAUGGAGAACUUGGGACACUCUGCCCAGCUAAUGAGUCUAUUCACAUCAGUUGGUGGUUUUCAUGUUUGACUUUUACCAAAGGUUAAUGGAAGGCUCAACUGCCUGUGUAAACAGUCAAAUACCACUUCUACUUCCUCACAUGGGAUUUUAUUUCAAACUGGCAGCUUGGCACUUAAAUCACCAGUCUUUGAACCAUGGACCCUUCCGUGCAUGCUCAGAACUGACAAUUGCUCCAAGCCUAAGUCCUUCCAGAAAAGGAUUCCACAGAUAAAACGUCGCUUUCGCUUGGAAGUAUUCAUUUUUCUGCUUAUACUAAAAGACUAAAAUGGAAUCCUAUUCCAAAAAGCCCUUUGUUUUGGUGUGCGUUUCCCGAGUCCUGCUUUCUCAAGUAGACUAGCUGAAUGUUAGCUGGCACGCUUAUCCUUUGGGGCCUUAUGUGUAGGGCUUCUCAACUGUAAAUGUAAGUAGUGAAUGACUUAGGUAAAUGGAAAGAGUAUGAUAAUAGGAAGAGGGAGAUAUAUGUAGCCCAUCAGAACAUCUACCAACAUUUGAGGAUCUUUAGCUGAUACCAUUAAAUUGGCAUUGUGCUCAUUUUCCUGAGUUCCGCUGUUUCAAACCUGGAAGCUAACCUCAUGGUCUACAAUAAAUGAGCAGUUACAAUAGCUUCUAAAUCACCCCCAAUAGCUUUUCUUGCUGAGCAUCUGUCUCUGUAGGGGUAUUGAUUUCCUGCCGGGGAUUCAUAGGAAAAAGUUCUGCCCUCUUUUCUCCAGGGAGGUGGUAAGAAUGUUCCAUAGUAGAAUUCUCCAGUCAGAGUACACACUGGUGGUUUUUAAUAUAUUUAUUUAUUUGCAAGCAGAGUUAACAGAGAAGAGAGAGAGAAUGGGUGCUGCAAAGGAACUCCAGGUGCAUACACCACUUUCACUUUACACAUCUGGCUUCAUGUGUGUACUGGGGGAAUUGUACCUGGGUCAUUAAGCUUUGCAGGCAAGCACCUUAACUGCUGAGCCACCUCUAUAGCCCCACUUUGUUUUUUAAAGAGCACUUUUUCCUACCCAAAAGCUUUAGAUUUAGUUUUGCACUUGAUUCUAUGAUGUAUAUAACCAAAGUUGAUAACUUCUUCCCUAAAUGACUAUACAAUGCACAGUCCAUGGUGGCUGUCUUAUGCCCUUUCUCCAGAGGCAAGAGAUAUUAUUGUUAUAGGUGAUUUUUACCUUAAUGGAUGUUGGACUCAUUCAAUAACCAAAGAUGUACUGGAUUGGGCAUGGGGGCAGGUAAUUGAUUGGUACUCUGAGUACGGGCAUUACAUCACCUGGAGCUUGGCUCUGCCCUCUUUUCAUAGUGAGAAACUCCGGUGGUUGGGUGGGACUAGAAAGCAGCUUUCAUGGACUGUUGGCUACACUGAGCAGCUCAAUGGGAACAUGGAUCCUGAGGGCGCUGUCAAGCCCGUCCCUUUGACUGCCUGUUGCUCUUGCACUAUGCCUCCUUCUGUGCAGUUUGGCCUUCCUUGGAGAGGACAUGGUAAUCACUACAAUAGCAGUGAAUCCACCUUAAGCUCAUUUUCAUUGUGAUUAUAUUAAGUGUUUUGAAGAACCUCUGCCCAACCCCUACCAAAGAAUGUCACUAUAUGUCUUCGUCUGUCUUCUGUUUUAUGGGUGAUUUUAUUUCUCCUUUACAUCUAAUUUCAGUUAUUACUAAUCUAUAUCACUGUGGGCCUCUGCAGUAUUGUUCCUCCUUGAUUUCAACUUCAAUGUUACAGAGCAUUUUGAAUACAGAGCACUUAAGGGAAAGAUUGUAAACGUGUUAAUCACAUUGAAAAAUGAGUUUUGUACAAUGUGUUAAAUGGAAAUCACAUUGGAUUAUUUUUAUAUUUAACACAUGCCACCAAACCAUUCUGUAACAUAUUUCCACAAUCUGCAUGUAAGCUAGCUGUGAAAUUCAGUGUUGUGAUGUUUUAACCAAUUCUUUCUUCACAAAUGCUACACGAUAAAAUUACUACUACAUUCAACUUAACUGAUUUUUUUCUGGGUUUUUAUUAUUAAAAAUAAAUAAUAUAUUUACAGAUGU